CUGUCUGAACACAUCACAAUAGUAUGUGCAGCACCCAAUCUUUUCUGAUUUUGGAAGUCCAGCAUCGUUGGACCUGGCUAGUACUCGGACAGGAGAGUCCAGGCAAACACCAGCGGUUUACAAAUGGG
rnacentral:rRNA from 1 species